rnacentral:rRNA from 1 species
ACUCAAAUGAAUAGACGGGGGCCCGCACAAGCGGUGGAGCAUGUGGUUUAAUUCGACGCUACGCGAAGAACCUUACCUGGGCUUGAACUGCUGGUGGUAGAAGCCCGAAAGGGUAACGACCCGGAGCAAUCCGGGAGCCAGUAGAGGUGCUGCAUGGCUGUCGUCAGCUCGUGUCGUGAGAUGUUGGGUUAAGUCCCGCAACGAGCGCAACCCUUACCCUUAGUUGCCAGCGGGUAAUGCCGGGCACUCUAAGGGGACCGCCCCGGAUAACGGGGAGGAAGGCGGGGAUGACGUCAAGUCAGCAUGGCCUUUAUGUCCAGGGCUACACACGUGCUACAAUGGGCGAUACAGAGGGAAGCAAGGCCGCAAGGUAGAGCUAAUCCCUAAAGUCGUCCUCAGUUCGGAUUGCAGGCUGCAACUCGCCUGCAUGAAGUCGGAAUCGCUAGUAAUCGCGGAUCAGCUACGCCGCGGUGAAUACGUUCUCGGGCCUUGCACACACCGCCCGU